GAAAGGUUGCAUAUGCAAAAACCUCUUCUAAUUAUGCACCAUGCCUGCACCACUUGUUUUGCAAAACCUAUCCACCAGGGGGUGUGAAUGGAACUAUUUUGUCAGUCAAAAAAGGGCUUCAGGAGCAGCGUUUCAAAAUCAAAAAGUAAGCACAUACUGCCAUCUAUUAUCAACAUGCAAAACUGCAUUACAAAUUUUAUUUUCAAUAAGUUCGCUCUACACAUUUAGUACAACAGCAGUCUGUGUGGACUGAACUGUGGAUCACUUUUCACUGAAUAUUAGAAA